rnacentral:tRNA from 1 species
UCCCUGGUGGCUCAGAGGUUAGAGCGUUUGCCUGCAAUGUGGAAGACCUGGGUUCGAUCCAUGGAUUGGGAA